CAGUUCGGAUUGUAGUCUGCAACCCGACUACAUGAAGCUGGAAUCGCUAGUAAUCGCGAAUCAGAAUGUCGCGGUGAAUACGUUCCCGGGUCUUGUACACACCGCCCGUCACACCAUGGGAGUCGGAAAUGCCCAAAGUCAGUGACCUAACCGAAAGGGAGGAGCUGCCGAAGGUGGAGCCGGUAACUGGGGUGAAGUCGUAACAAGGUAUC
rnacentral:rRNA from 1 species